rnacentral:misc_RNA from 1 species
UAAAAUUUUAAAUGCUUAUAAGUUGAUAUUAGCUUUCAUAAGUUAAGCCAAACAUUUUUUAAAUCAUAUAUAUAUGCACCAAAUCAAACCAAAUUAAAAGUCCAUUUGAUUAUUGUAGUUCAUCCGGAAUCACACAAAAAUGUUCCAGAUCACCCAUUGAUAAUCUGAGAGGUUGAGUAUGGUGCGGAAAGAGAAAAUUUUACAUUGAUUUUUAAUUUUAAAUAAAAGAAAUAUUUUUUAUUUUAAUUUGACUAAUUUAGUCAACUAAAUAAAAUUACAACUAAUUUUAAUAAUUGAGGUUUAAAAUUUGAGUUUUUGGUAUCAUGAGCAAAA